CGAACGCUGGCGGCGUGCCUAAUACAUGCAAGUCGAGCGGAAUGAUGAAGAAGCUUGCUUCUUCUGAUUUUAGCGGCGGACGGGUGAGUAACACGUGGGCAACCUACCUUGUAGAUUGGGAUAACUCCGGGAAACCGGGGCUAAUACCGAAUAAUCCAUUUUGCUUCAUGGCGAGAUGUUAAAAGGCGGCUUCGGCUGUCACUACGAGAUGGGCCCGCGGCGCAUUAGCUAGUUGGUAGGGUAAUGGCCUACCAAGGCGACGAUGCGUAGCCGACCUGAGAGGGUGAUCGACCACACUGGGACUGAGACACGGCCCAGACUCCUACGGGAGGCAGCAGUAGGGAAUCUUCCACAAUGGACGAAAGUCUGAUGGAGCAACGCCGCGUGAGUGAAGAAGGUUUUCGGAUCGUAAAACUCUGUUGUAAGGGAAGAACACGUACGAGAGUAACUGCUCGUACCUUGACGGUACCUUAUUAGAAAGCCACGGCUAACUACGUG
rnacentral:rRNA from 1 species